rnacentral:misc_RNA from 1 species
AGUCAUCAACCUCUCCCGUUUCUUGCGGGCGUCGGUUGGAAAUGGGGGCAUGCUGCCGCGAGGCUGCUCCCCUCAAAUGCUUCGGUUGGACCUGUGGGUCGAACUCGACUGGGCGUUGUACCAUCCUCGCUCUCCCCGAGACGUUCUCCACUUUUUGCGUCCCUCCUAGACCUUGCCCGUGGGGUGGCGGUCAACAAAGCUCGACUUUGAA